rnacentral:rRNA from 1 species
UGGGGAAUUUUGGACAAUGGGCGAAAGCCUGAUCCAGCCAUGCCGCGUGAGUGAAGAAGGCCUUCGGGUUGUAAAGCUCUUUCGGUGGGGAAGAAAUUGCAUGGGCUAAUACCCUGUGUAGAUGACGGUACCUGGAGAAGAAGCACCGGCUAACUACGUGCCAGCAGCCGCGGUAAUACGUAGGGUGCGAGCGUUAAUCGGAAUUACUGGGCGUAAAGCGUGCGCAGGCGGUUUGGUAAGUCAGAUGUGA